GGUUAGCUCAGUUGGUAGAGCGCUCCACUGGAAAUGGAGAGGUCCCGGGUUCGAUACCCGGACC
rnacentral:tRNA from 1 species